rnacentral:tmRNA from 1 species
ACACUUCACAUUAAGCCGGGAUCGACUAUAUGAGUCGGUGCCGGCUUUUUGCUGGAUAUGGCGAUAAAUUGCAGUGUGCAAUAAGCAUAACGGACCCGGGGGCAGUACCCGGCGGCUCCACCAAAAGCGGCAGACACUCUUGAUUGAUAAGAGUGGAGGCCGUUCCUGACGGGGCCGAACUAGGAUCGACGUGUGCCGAAAAGCAUUGUUUUUGCCCGGGUUGAGAAUUCCCGUAAAAAGCUCAUUUUUAUAAGUGCAAACGAUAACGACGCACUCGCUCUCGCAGCGUAAUUUGAUGGCCUAACGGCCGGACUUUACAAAGCUUAAGCGCGGUUGGACCCACCGGGCAACAGAAGCGGAUUCCG